CUUGACGACCAUAGAACAUUGGAACCACCUGAUCCCAUCCCGAACUCAGCAGUGAAACGAUGUAUCGCCGAUGGUAGUGUG
rnacentral:rRNA from 1 species